rnacentral:lncRNA from 1 species
CUGUGGUCGCGGGCCGCCUGCGGGGGGCUCUGGGCCCGAGGAACGGGCGGGCGGGGGGCCCAGCCGGGGCCCCUCAGGCGGGGGUCGGGAGAGCCGGGCUAGUGGGUUUCACCCAGCCAGUGAGGCUCGCCCGGCCGGAGCACAGUGGUCUUUAAGCCCCCAUGAGCUCCGGAUAGCUUUUUGGAACAAGAGCUCUGGACUGCAGAAGAUGAAGGCAAAUGCACCUUAGCGAUGUUGGUAUAAGCACUUCCACGGUGAUAAACUAGAAGUGAAAUUAAAAAACCCACCCACAUUACUUAUGAAAAUCAGAGUUAUAAUGCUUCAGACAUGGAGUCACAGAUGCUAGAACAAAUUUGGGUAAGGAUUUAACAAAAUACUAAGUUCAACUUUUGGAUUUGUACAAGUAGUUUAAAAAUGUGCUGCUGCAGAAAUACAAAACUUUGAUCUGGCAUUAAGUUUCUUUGAGAGUUCAGCUUUGUUUAAAACACUUAUUGGAUUAUUUUUGUGCUGUUUAUGUCAACAGUUGUCCCAGUGCAGCAUUUACAUUGUACAGGAUCAGGAAUCACCUGUCCUCUGACAGCCCCUGAAAGCUCAUGUAAAAAUAUAAAAACAGUAUAAGCUCUGUAAUUUAUAUUCUUACUAUUUCUAUCACAUCUAAAUGUGAUCUGUCUAGAUCCUUCUAUUGUUCAUAUUUCUGCUGCUGACUGAUCCAACAGCCAUAGUGUGGCUAUGCACUGUGGUAGUGCCUGUGGAAUCCUGGUCUUAGCUAUGGAUAAGAACUUUUGCAUCCUGGGUAUUUGAGUUUCACUUCCUUGUUCUGUAAAAUCUGUUACUUAGCUGUGGCCCAAGUAACUGAGUGACACUUGUGCCAUACAAUCACUGGAUGCAAAUAAUCCCUCAAAUCAUGCUCACCGAAAUGCUAAAUUGCAAUCAAAUUAAUAACAUGAGGUGGCAGAGUACAUGAGACAGAGCAACAAUUAAUGUAGUUAUUGAAAGCAAAAAGAUAAUGAAGGCUUAGUUUUGGGUUUGUUCUUUUUUACCAUCAACAGAGACAGUUGAAAGCUGAAAUAAUUUUAAAAAUAUAAAGUUACAUCUUUAUUGAUAACUUUGUGGAUCUUUUAUAAGAGAUUAACUGAAUUCAAAUUAAAAAACACAGGAGAAGUAAUAAAAAAAAUCUACUGGGUUUGCUUCUGAAUUCA